GAGAGAGGCUUGUAGCAACGUAAACUGCUAAUUUUCGUCCACCUUUGGUUAAAUUCCAAAGCUCACUCG
rnacentral:tRNA from 1 species